UACAGAGGGUGCAAGCGUUGUUCGGAAUUAUUGGGCGUAAAGGGCGCGUAGGCGGUGCUGUAAGUCUGUAGUGAAAUCUCUGGGCUCAACUCAGAGUCUGCUAUAGAAACUGCAGUGCUGGAGUGUGGGAGAGGUGAGUGGAAUUCCCGGUGUAGCGGUGAAAUGCGCAGAUAUCAGGAGGAACACCGGUGGCGAAGGCGGGUCUCUGGACCACAACUGACGCUGAGGCGCGAAAGCUAGGGGAGCAAACAGG
rnacentral:rRNA from 1 species